CAGUUACUGGGGUAUGUAUGUGUGUGUCGAGAUUGAGGGGAGGAAGAACAACACCCACCUCUUCACUAUCAACUAGAAAUUCAGCCAAUUAAGGAUGAAUGAGAAUCAAAAUCUUGUGCAUGUGAUGAGAUUCAUAACCAUCUAAGAAUUCUCUACAUAAGGGGUCAAAGAAGAAAGUUCAAGUCGCUCCGGAUCGCAAACGAACAACGACAAAGGUAAAGCAACUUGUUAACGGCGCUACUUGGAUCGAACACACUCAUGAUGCACGCUUCCGCAAGGAUCCUAGUUAUGGUUUAAACUUUUGUUAAGUGAUGUCUUUUGUUAAAAACGGGUCUUUUGUAAGUAACUUAAUCCAGUAGUUAUUAGAUGUUAAACUAGUAGUUAAAGACUACAUUGUUGGUUCUGAAACGUUUGGGUUGAAAACUCCUUUUGUAAACAAUAUGUAGUUACCAUGAAGAUUAAUGUAGAAUUUUACUUAUGAAUUAU